UGAAGCGGCAAAAGCUGUUUUCAAGGAUUUGCACAAAGUUCCUUAUGUCGUUGAGUUGGAUCAAAGGUCUACUUAAUUUCCUCUCCCCAAUUAUGAAAAGUGGUAGUAACAACUCCCUUAUUGAAUCUGUUGAAAUGAAAUCUGUUUGUUUAUUAACCAUUAUAGGUUGACCUAGUGGUAAAAAUGGUCUCGAUAAAUGGCUAAGAGAUCAAAGGUUCAAUUCAUGAUGGCCGUAUGAAAAUGUUGGAGUAUGAUAUUACAAUAGAUAUGUGCAUUCUUGAGAUUUUUUGAAGCUGAAAUUUUUGUUUGGGAAUCUUUUACUCUCUUGGGCUGAAAUUCUAUUUUCAAUGUGGGAUCUCAACCUUCCUUUCGAGAUGUAACUCGUAUCUUAUAAGGACUAUGAGAUCUCCAUCAUUCCAAUUGAGAUCCUUAACAAGAAGAAGGGACCAAAAAGUGGGAUAUGGUAAAGGAAAAGGAGGAAAACCACUAAGAAAGGUUAUGCAAAAGUAUGACCUAUUAAUGUUGCUUGGUGUUGAUGUGGAAAUAUGGGGAAAAGAGAUUCACCUAACCUUGACAUGCAAUAAAAUUUUCAGUUCAUGAAAAGAGGUGAACUACAAAAUAGAAUGAAUUGCACACUGUCUUUGCAUACCACCUCUCAUGCCUAAGUUAGUUUAAAAGUUUUAGGAUGUAGCAAGAGUUUAGAGAGUGAGAGUUAACUUAUUCCUUUUAUAUAUAUAGGUAGAAUGACCUAUGAUUUUCUCUCUCCUCGUCAAAUUAGGAUGAUUUGGAUAUGUCUCUUCUUGUCGGGUGUUGAUAAAAAAAAGUUCCACAUCCUUGGGCCAACAAGCUCGCCUUGGCCGGCUUGAUUGGUCCUGGUUUGCCCAAUGCCUAUUUAUAUCUUGGGCUUUGUUUUGCAAUCUUGAACCUCAGUUUUGUACAUUUUGGGUUCAAGUGGUGUUGAUUAAAGCUUUUGUUUACUUGAGCCCAAAUUCACCCAUUAACACAUAAUAUUUAUUAGUGAGAAAUCUUCAAAAUCUUCUUUUAUCUUGUGGUAGUUUGUAUGCAGGUUCUUUGUUUUCUUUAGUUUAGUUUUUCUUUCUUUCAUUUUAGGAUGGGGAAAGAAUUCAAGCUUUGGAUGAAGUCCCUAAAUGGACUGGUAAAACUGUUACCAUUAGACAUAUAUUCUAGCUCUUGUUUCCAUAUCUUUUUAUAUCCUACUGUUCUCUCCAUGUUGUUCUAUUACUCAUAACCUAGAAGUUAGUUAAUUCAUAGAAUUUGGAUCUUGAUGCCCCAGAUGAUGGUAGUGCCAUUCAAGAUGCUCUUAGUGCAUUUGUUGGAAGGCACACUGUACCUCAAGUAUUGAUAGAUGGAAAAUACAUAAGUGGAUCAGAUGAUUCUAUUGAAGCAUACAAGAGCGGAGAGUUAGAUAUGAAGGAUCUCCUUGAGACUUUUUAACCCUUACCUUUGAAGACGUUUCUUCAAAUUGAAACCUCGAUCUCCAACCGACAUUACUACGAACGCAACCUUGAUAAUCUCAGGAAGAAGAAGCGAAAACCUCAACCUCCCACGUGCGUAAUGUGGAGAGAAUUGAGGGG